AACUGACGCUGAGGCUCGAAAGUGUGGGGAGCAAACAGGAUUAGAUACCCUGGUAGUCCGCGCGGUAAACGAUGAACACUCGGGAUUUGCCCCUUGUGGGUGAGUCCCCCAGCGAAAGCGUUAAGUGUUCCACCUGGGGAGUACGCCGGCAACGGUGAAACUCAAAGGAAUUGACGGGGGCCCGCACAAGCGGAGGAACAUGUGGUUUAAUUCGAUGAUACGCGAGGAACCUUACCCGGGCUUGAAAUGUGCAUGACGGGAGGCAGAGACGCCUCCUUCCUUCGGGCAUGCAUGUAGGUGCUGCAUGGUUGUCGUCAGCUCGUGCCGUGAGGUGUCGGCUCAAGUGCCAUAACGAGCGCAACCCCUUCCGCCGGUUACCAUCGGGUGAUGCCGGGGACUCCGGCGGCACUGCCGCCGCAAGGCGUGAGGAAGGCGGGGAUGACGUCAAAUCAGCACGGCCCUUACGUCCGGGGCCACACACGUGUUACAAUGGGGGGCACAGCGAGCUGGAGCAGGGCGACCUGCUUCGAAUCAUGAAAUCCCCUCCCAGUUCGGACCGGAGUCUGCAACCCGACUCCGCGAAGCCGGAUUCGCUAGUAA
rnacentral:rRNA from 1 species